rnacentral:rRNA from 1 species
ACGCGUUGGGAGCUCUCCCAUAUGGUCGACCUGCAGGCGGCCGCGAAUUCACUAGUGAUUCGUAUUACCGCGGCUGCUGGCACAGAGUUAGCCGGUGCUUAUUCUGUCGGUAACGUCAAAACAGCAAAGUAUUAAUUUACUGCCCUUCCUCCCAACUUAAAGUGCUUUACAAUCCGAAGACCUUCUUCACACACGCGGCAUGGCUGGAUCAGGCUUUCGCCCAUUGUCCAAUAUUCCCCACUGCUGCCUCCCGUAGGAGUCUGGACCGUGUCUCAGUUCCAGUGUGACUGAUCAUCCUCUCAGACCAGUUACGGAUCGUCGCCUUGGUGAGCCAUUACCCCACCAACUAGCUAAUCCGACCUAGGCUCAUCUGAUAGCGCAAGGCCCGAAGGUCCCCUGCUUUCUCCCGUAGGACGUAUGCGGUAUUAGCGUCCGUUUCCGAACGUUAUCCCCCACUACCAGGCAGAUUCCUAGGCAUUACUCACCCGUCCGCCGCUCUCAAGAGAAGCAAGCUUCUCUCUACCGCUCGACUUGCAUGUGUUAGGCCUGCCGCCAGCGUUCAAUCUGAGCCAGGAUCAAACUCUAAUCGAAUUCCCGCGGCCGCC